GAUGAACGCUGGCGGCGUGCCUAAUACAUGCAAGUCGAGCGAACAGACGAGGAGCUUGCUCCUCUGACGUUAGCGGCGGACGGGUGAGUAACACGUGGAUAACCUACCUAUAAGACUGGGAUAACUUCGGGAAACCGGAGCUAAUACCGGAUAAUAUAUUGAACCGCAUGGUUCAAUAGUGAAAGACGGUUUUGCUGUCACUUAUAGAUGGAUCCGCGCCGCAUUAGCUAGUUGGUAAGGUAACGGCUUACCAAGGCAACGAUGCGUAGCCGACCUGAGAGGGUGAUCGGCCACACUGGAACUGAGACACGGUCCAGACUCCUACGGGAGGCAGCAGUAGGGAAUCUUCCGCAAUGGGCGAAAGCUUGACGGAGCAACGCCGCGUGAGUGAUGACGGUCUUCGGAUCGUGAAACUCUGUUAUUAGGGAAGAACAAAUGUGUAAGUAACUAUGCACGUCUUGACGGUACCUAAUCAGAAAGCCACGGCUAACUACGUG
rnacentral:rRNA from 1 species